rnacentral:rRNA from 1 species
GAUGAACGCUGGCGGCGUGCCUAAUACAUGCAAGUCGAGCGAACGGACGAGAAGCUUGCUUCUCUGAUGUUAGCGGCGGACGGGUGAGUAACACGUGGAUAACCUACCUAUAAGACUGGGAUAACUUCGGGAAACCGGAGCUAAUACCGGAUAAUAUUUUGAACCGCAUGGUUCAAAAGUGAAAGACGGUCUUGCUGUCACUUAUAGAUGGAUCCGCGCUGCAUUAGCUAGUUGGUAAGGUAACGGCUUACUAAGGCAACGAUGCAUAGCCGACCUGAGAGGGUGAUCGGCCACACUGGAACUGAGACACGGUCCAGACUCCUACGGGAGGCAGCAGUAGGGAAUCUUCCGCAAUGGGCGAAAGCCUGACGGAGCAACGCCGCGUGAGUGAUGAAGGUCUUCGGAUCGUAAAACUCCGUUAUUAGGGAAGAACAUAUGUGUAAGUAACUGUGCACAUCUUGACGGUACCUAAUCAGAAAGCCACGGCUAACUACGUG